rnacentral:rRNA from 1 species
GCAGUCGAACGCGAAAGUCCCCUUCGGGGGGCGAGUAGAGUGGCGCACGGGUGAGUAACACGUAGGUAAUCUACCUUCGGAUGGGGAAUAACAAUCGGAAACGGUUGCUAAUACCGCAUAAUGCAGCGGCACCUAAUGGUGACAGUUGUUAAAGCGGGGGAUCGAAAGACCUCGCGUCUGAAGAGGAGCCUGCGGCGGAUUAGCUAGUUGGUAGGGUAACGGCCUACCAAGGCGACGAUCCGUAGCCGGCCUGAGAGGGCGGUCGGCCACACUGACACUGACAUACGGGUCAGACUCCUACGGGAGGCAGCAGUCGGGAAUUUUGGGCAAUGGGCGAAAGCCUGACCCAGCAACGCCGCGUGAAGGAUGAAAUCCCUCGGGAUGUAAACUUCGCAAGAACGGGAAGAAUAAGUCUGCGUGAAUAUCGCAGAUGAUGACGGUACCGUUUGUAAGCUCCGGCUAACUCCGUGCCAGCAGCCGCGGUAAUACGGGGGGAGCAAGCGUUGUUCGGAUUUACUGGGCGUAAAGGGCGCGUAGGCGGCCACCGCAAGUCGGUUGUGAAAUCUCCGGGCUUAACCCGGAAAGGUCAACCGAUACUGCGGGGCUAGAGUGCAGAAGGGGCAACUGGAAUUCUCGGUGUAGCGGUGAAAUGCGUAGAUAUCGAGAGGAACACCUGCGGCGAAGGCGGGUUGCUGGGCUGACACUGACGCUGAAGUGCGAAAGCUAGGGGAGCGAACGGGAUUAGAUACCCCGGUAGUCCUAGCCUUAAACGAUGAAUGCUUGGUGUCUGGGGUUUUAAAGUCCCCGGGUGCCGUCGCUAACGCUUUAAGCAUUCCGCCUGGGGAGU